CCCUUUAGUUUACUAUAGGUGUCCUAGUGGCAGACGGGUGAGUAACGCGUGAACAAUGUGCCUCUUUGCCGGGGAUACCGUCUCGAAAGGGACGUUAAUACCGGAUGUGAUAGUUUGGUGGCAUCACCGAAUUAUUAAACUGUUAGGGUGAAGAGAGCAGUUCGCGUUCUAUCAGUUAGAUGGUGGGGUAACGGCCUACCAUGACGACGACGGAUAACUGGUCUGAGAGGAUGAUC
rnacentral:rRNA from 1 species